rnacentral:sRNA from 1 species
GCCAGGCACGGUGGCGCACGCCUGUAAUCCCAGCUGCUCAGGAGGCUGAGGCAGGAGGAUCACAAGUUCAGAGCCAGCCUCAGCAAUAGCAAGGCACUAAGCAACUCAGUGAGACCCUGUCUCUA